UUAUUUUACGCACUCACUCUCUCUCUCUCUCUCAUAACAUUCUUCUGAUCAAUCAAAAUCUUCUUCUUCAAGCUUCCGAUCACUCUGAACAUUCUUCUGCGCAAAUCAAUCAUCACAAUUCGCAACACGCUUCAAUUCAUCUCCCUUAUUAUCAUCACCACUGUUUUCUGCAUUCGAUUUUCGUUCUUUUACCGUUUAAUUCUCUGAAAUUUGAUUAAUCUUUUGUAGGUGAUUUCUUUGAUCAUCUUCAACAAUGGAUUCGGGUUCGUGGAGUUCUUCUUCAAAGACCAAAAUCAGAACGCCUUUCCCAGAACGCUUUCUCCACCGAAAUAAUUCUUCUCAGGAUAACUUGGAUAGGUUCAUACCAAACCGAUCAGCGAUGGAUUUUGAUUACGCUCACUACAUGAUGAUGGAGGGUUGUAGAAAAGGAAAAGAGAAUCCAGCGUUGAUGUCACCAUCUCGUUCAGCCUACCAGAAGCGACUCGCUGAAGCAUGCAACAUGCAUGACAGAACCAGAAUCUUGGCCUUCAAGAACAAGCCUCCAACACCAGUCGAGCUCUUCCCUAAGGAACUUCUGUCCCCUCCACCUCUAUCCAAAUCCGCUAAGCCUAAACGAUGCAUUCCUCAGACUUCUGAGAGGACCUUGGACGCACCUGAUAUCUUAGAUGACUUUUACUUGAAUUUGCUAGACUGGGGUAGCAGCAAUGUUGUCAGUAUUGCCCUUGAAAAUACCGUUUAUCUUUGGAAUGCUUCAGAUUCCUCCACUUCAGAGCUUGUCACUGUAGAUGAUGAUGAUGGUCCUGUCACAAGCGUUAGCUGGGCCCCCGAUGGUCGCCAUUUAGCCAUUGGGUUGAACAACUCCCAUGUCCAGCUCUGGGAUACCACUGCUUGUAAACAGCUAAGGGCAAUGAAGGGUGGACACAGAGCAAGAGUGGGUUCAUUGGCUUGGAACAACCAUAUUCUGACAACAGGAGGAAUGGAUGGUAAAGUUGUAAACAAUGAUGUUAGAGUGAGAUCUCACAUCGUUGAAACAUACAUGGGACACAACCAGGAGGUUUGUGGGCUCAAGUGGUCACCCUCAGGACAACAAUUGGCAAGUGGUGGAAACGAUAAUGUUGUUCACAUAUGGGAUAGAUCCGUGGUUUCUUCAAAUUCACCUACCCGAUGGCUUCACAGGUUUGAGGAACACAUAGCUGCUGUGAAGGCACUGGCUUGGUGUCCCUUUCAGGGUAAUCUACUGGCUUCUGGUGGAGGUGGAGGUGAUCAUUGCAUUAAGCUGUGGAACACACACACUGGUGCGAGAUUGAAUUCUGUUGACACUGGAUCGCAAGUAUGUGCUCUGCUAUGGAACCAGAACGAGCGUGAGCUACUUAGCUCACAUGGUUUCACCGAGAACCAGCUUACCCUUUGGAAGUAUCCUUCUAUGGUGAAAAUGGCAGAUCUCAAUGGUCACACUUCGAGGGUGCUGUAUAUGGCGCAGAGUCCAGAUGGGUGUACAGUGGCAUCUGCGGCUGCAGAUGAAACUCUUAGAUUUUGGAAUGUCUUUGGGAGCCCAGCAGAAGCAUGCAAAGCCGCAGCGCCAAAGACAUAUAAUGAGCCCUUUGCUAAUUUCACCCGUAUUCGUUGAAGAUGAUGACUUGUGUUACUCAUGCAAACCUGAGCCGCAACAUCUUAGUAUUUUUUUUGAGGUUCGCAAGUCGGCUUGUUGUAUGAGUCAAGUGCAUGGAUUUAGAUUCUCUGCUUUUGAAGUCUUCACAUUUAUCUGUCUUUAGGUGAGUAAAACUACGGGGACAACAAGUCAACAAUCCAUCAGCCAUCUAGUGGACUCUUUCACAAAUUUGACAAGUUGAUCCUAUUGGGAAAAGGGAACUUGCUUUACUAGCGGUUAAGCAUGUUCCCACUACGGCAGUUAACUGGCAUCUGAUAUGAGCUGGAGAUUGUCAAAGAAGACAUAUUCUUUUGGUUUAGAAAUCCAAGAAGUCAAUGACAUGAUUCUCUUGAGCCACAAGUUAUCCAUUUUGGAAGAUAUCAAAGAGAUUAGAAUUGAUCAGUUUUCAACAAAUAGCUUAAUGUCAAGGAGUCUUUACGACAAGUUUAAUGUCAAACAAAGGAUGGGGAGUAUAGCAGUCAACCGGGUAUGCACACAAGCUUUCUUUAACUUCACCAUCGCCUUUGUCCGGUCUUCAUCGGUUCUCUUACCUUGGAUGGGAACGCUUGGUUUACAUUGAGGGAUCUAAAAAUUGCAAUAAACGAGUUUUCAAAAGACAGUAUUAUUGGUGAAGGAGAAUAUUUAGAAGCUACUAAAUAAUCAAGGUACUUGCAUGGAAAUAAACUGACUAGCUUCAUCCUUCUGGAGCCUCGGGAAUAGGACAAAGCUCCACUAUCGUGUGUACUCUCAUUCCCUUGUUGCAGUGCUUGGAAAAAAAAUACAGUGUUAGGUCUUCUUCAAUUAUCGUUUGCAGCUAUGGCUACAUGGGAUGCUCAGGUUAAAAUUCUUCUUGGAACAACUAAUUAAAGAGUACGAUCAUUUAGUUCAUGUCCCUGAUUUGUUUUGGUAGAAAUUAAAAACUUUUGUUCUUGAUUCAUGAUUAUAUUGCAUGCUGGUUUUUUCGCUCGAGGAAAUUGAGCCAAAAUGUGUCCAUCAAGAUAUUAAGUCAACUAAUGUUCUAAUUGAUGAUGACAAUGCAAAAAUUUCUGACAUUGAACUAGCCAAGUCUUGGUGCCGGAAAAAGUCACAUUACAACUCGAGUGAUGGGUGCUUUUGAGAGCAAUAAAUCAAUGACCAAUUUUUGUUGUAUUUUUUGCUGCAAAAUGAGAAUUGGAAUAGUUUAUUCUCUUAGAUUAAUUUAAUUUAAUCUAAUCGUUAAUGAUAUGUGGCUCCUGAAAAUGCCAAUUCGAGCUUACUAAACAAGAAUAGUGAUGUUUAUAGCUUUUGGUGUAUUGCUCCGCAGAGCAAUUACUAGAAGAGAUCCUGUGGAUUAUAACCGCUCAGCAGCCGAGGUAAUAGGUACACCAAAGAGGUGGUGGACUCAAACAUUGAGACCAUCAACAAGUUCCUUCCCUUAAAACGAGCUCAUUUGACUGCUUUGAGAUGCGUUGAUCCAAAUUCUGAAAAAAGACCAAAAAUGAAUCAUGUGAUCCAUGCUUGAAUUGGAAAAAUAUAAGAUACCUAGAGAGGACCGAAGACGCAAAAGUAAUUCCAGAAGUGGUAGCACCUCUUCGCAUUAAGCAUCAAGUAUGCUUGUGAGGCCAAACACAUUUCUCCUUGGUCAUUCACAACCCAUUUGAUAAAGGUUGCGAACUUGCAACUACUGCAACGUUUGAUUGCCCAAACUUUUUCAUCCUUGAUUUUUUUUUAGCUGUUAAAUUUCUUAUACGUUUGAAAUAUAUUCUGUCCAAUUUUGUCUA